rnacentral:rRNA from 1 species
UUUCCAUUAAUCAAGAACGAAAGUUAGAUGCUCGAAGGCGAUCAGAUACCGCCCUAGUUCUAACCAUAAACGAUGCCAGCGAUCCGGCUGUGUUCCUCAAAUGACACGCCGGGCAGCUUCCGGGAAACCAGCCUUUGGGUUCCGGGGGAAGUAUGGUUGCAAAGCUGAAACUUAAAGGAAUUGACGGAACGACACCACAAGGCGUGGAGCCUGCGGUUUAAUUUGACUCAACACGGGAAAUCUUACCCGGCCCGGACACAGGAAGGAUUGACAGAUUAAGAGCUCUUUCUUGAUUCUGUGAGUGGUGGUGCAUGGCCGUUCUUAGUUGGUGGAUUGAUUUGUCUGCUUUAUUGCGAUAACGAACGAGACUCUAGCCUACUAAAUAGACGCUCCGAUCUUCUUAGUCGGACUCUUCUUAGGGGGACAGGCGGCGACUAGCCGCACGAGAAGGAGCAAUAACAGGUCUGUGAUGCCCUCAGAUGUCCGGGGCCACACGCGCGCUACAUUGAAGGGAUCAGCGUGUGCUUUCCCUGUCCGACAGGACUGGGUAACCCGUUGAAUCCCCUUCGUGCUGGGGAUAGGGGANUGCAAUUGUUCCCCUUGAACGAGGAACGCCUCGUAAGCGCGAGUCAUCAGCUCGUGUUGAUUAUGUCCCUGUCGUUUGUACACACCGCCCGUCGCUAUAAGCGAUUGAAUGGUUUAGUGAGGUCUUCGGACUGGCGCUCGAAUUGGCGUCGAGUCGACGUGCGAAAGAUGACCAAACUUGA